rnacentral:lncRNA from 10 species
AAAUUACUGCUUUGUCAGGCCUUUUACACAGAUUUCAAAGGAUCAGACUAGCUUAAUAUAACUAUAAUACACCCCUUUUGAUCUUAUUAUUUUGCCCUGAAUGUUACAUUCAGCAUCAAAUCAUUUUUGGCAGUGCUUAGAAUAAAGGGGGAGUAUCUUCCAUGAAAUAUUAUUUCCAGAAUACAUUUACCCUGGAUCUUCAUUCAUUCAUUUUCAGUUGUAAUAAUGAAUUUCUUUCCUUAUUCUCAAGGAAACAGUCGAAUUGAAAAACUCUAUAAUCUUCUCAAGGAGUCAAAUAGUUCUUCCCAAUCACAAUAUUUACUAUGGGAACACAAAAUGUUUUAACUUCUAUUGUCAAAUGAAAGGUUUCAUAUUCUUGCUUAUGACCCAAUACUGCCCUUGGUUUAUGUUUAUACUCUUCCUGAGAUGGAAUAGAGGUUGGCGUGAGAGGGAGAAAGUCUCAAGCUUAAUCCAAGAUGGUAGACUAUGUCACUAACUAUGGGCAUGCAUCAAGUCAGAUAUUCUAGAUUUUGCUUUCCAAAGCACAGAGUUGCACUCCUCAUCUUUUUUUCUCAAACAAAACUGAUAAAGUGGUAUUAUGGAAAAGUUCAUGCUUCAAGGAACAUAACACAGUACAGUUAAUGCAUCAAUUUUAUUCAUUCAGCAAACAUUUAUCUAAGGCCAGCCAUGUGCAAAGCACUAUGCAUGGUCCUGAGGAAACAACACUAGGAAAGCACAGAUGAUAGUUUACUUUGACAUAGUUUUAAACUUGGUGGAAAAGACAAGAAUUGAGUAAGAAUUUAAAAUGUGCUCAGUCAUAUAAAGAAAAUUAGGGUGCUAGGAGGACUUAAAAUAUGAUCAGAGAGUGUGUUGGUAGCAUGGCUGUUUUAGUGCAGAGAAACAGAAGGCUUCUCUGAGAAAAUUAUGUCCAAGCUAAAAUUUCCUGGAUGCACAGUACUCGGGUAAGCAUGUUGAGUCUAAUUGAGGAAGAUUAUCAUAUUAAAUUAUAUAGGCCUGCUUUAAGUGAGAGUUAAGUUCCUCUUGCUCUGCAAGGCAAUAAACAACUUCAGAAAAAAGUCUUUAGUAAGGCUAACACUGGUGUUCAGAAUGUUUUUGAAAAGUAAGGUGAAAACUUCUUACGCUGAAAAUUUAUUAUAAACAAUUAGGAACAACUCACACUAGUAUUCCUUCUUCAAAAAUGGAAGUAGCAAUGAGAGAGUGCUUUUUACAAUGAUAUAGUAGUUUACUGUAGCCAGCCUCUCAAUGCAAAUGAUAAAAUUGUGUGGUUGUCAGAAUAUUUGCUACAAAGGGGAAAAGAAAAAAUCUGAGGCAGCAGUUUCUCUUAAUGUGGUAAUAGCCUAGUCAUAAAAGAACAUCCUACUUCAUUGUCAUGAAUGUAUGAAUGAUUCCCGUAGUUUACCAUGAAUAUUUUUACCAUUUACAAGAAAACAGCUGUUACAACUAAAAGAAUGAUUAGCUGCUAAGUACAUAACAAGUUGCUUUUUAGGACUGCUUUCCAAAGUACCCCCAUUUCACCCUUCACUUCAUUUAGGUGCAUGCAUAUUGACAUAAGAGGGCAUUUCCAGAAUUUUCUGGAUUAAGUAGAAGCAAAUUCUUAAAGAAGUCCAUAAGGUAAAGUUUCUGCUACUCUCAGAAUUUGAGCAUUUCACUGAGUUUACUCCUUCCCAUUUUCAAAGAGUAAAACCCUUCUCCCACCCUCCAGAAUAUAUCUUCAAGGUUAAUGUUUAAGAAUUAAUUAAGCCUAACCACCUCUUAAGAGAUAAGUAAGUAAAUAGGCUAGUCAUGAUAACAAGGUUUCCAAGAGUAGACAUAAAGGAAUGUUAAUGCAUCUUUCAUAAUGGAAACAAUAGCUUUAAAAUCUUAGACUUAAAGUAACUAUGGUUACAAAGCCUUGUACCGCUUUACCUUCACUUGGUUCCUUUCACUGGAGAUCCACCUCUGUCAUCAGGAGAGAGUCUCCUUGUGCUAAUGGCUCUCAGUUUGUCAUCAUGAGAAUAUAAACAUUAAAUACCUUAUGAACUGAGGGUGUAAAUUUCUUUAUCUGCUUAAGAAAUGUCUUUUCAAGAAGGAAGAUUUAGUCAACAAAGAAGAAAGUGUUCUCAGUUUAAGCUAACUUUUUAAAUAAAAAGCAUUGGCUUUCUGUUGUACCUGAAGUGUUUUGUUAUCAAUGAUUACCAGGCCAGCUCUUCAAGUCUUUGUAGCCAUCUUCCUGAUGUUGACUAACUACUUUAAAAAGAAUCUUUGCAGAUACUUAGGGUGAAGAGGUUAAGAAGAAGGUAUUAUCAGAAAAGAAUACUGGAUUUAGGAUGAAUUGCUGAUGACAUCUUCUAAAAGAGCAUUAAAGACACAGAAAAUUGUUGGAACCAUAACAUUGGAAACAAAGCAGGACUCAAAAUUAUUUAUAUAACCUAUUUUUCUAAACGAUAUAAAAUACAUAAAGAAAAGCACAUGAAAAUGUAAACAGCGGUUAUUUCAGGGUGGGAUUAUGAAUGAUUUGGCGUAAAAUACAUAUAUUACUUACAUAAUUUAAAAAAUUAAAUUUUCCAUAAUAAUGUACUUUAAACCACAGCCCCAUGGCUUUGGCAAUUACAAAAAGAACUUACUGUUUAUCUUCAGAGGAGGUUGGUUAACAAUAUCAGAGCUAUUAAAGCACUGAUUUUUUUACUCAGAGAAAAAGAGUAAUGAAACAUGAAAGCUACCUUCAACUAUUAGAACUGUCAAGUAGAGGAUUGUCAAGACUAGAGGUUCUAUAACGACAGCACUUGUCUUAAGAAAGACAUUUCUAGCAACAAAGAAACAGACUGAUACUCAAGAAUUGUGGAUGGCAUUCAAGAAGAGGUGGGGUGGAUAUCAGACAUAUGGUAAUAAAAAUGAUUGCUCCACUGAGUGAGAACUAAAACAGUUUGUUUUAAAAGAUCCCUUUCAACCUUGGAUUCUAUUAUACAUUGCCAACAUAUUUGUCCCACAUUCUACAGGUCAAAGGUGUUGGUUUUUCUUUUCUUCUCUACUUUUAACCCACCUGACUCCCACCUUCUUCCUGUAUUGCCAGAAGGUCCUGACUUUCUGUGCAAAGAAUCAAUGGGGCAAAUUGCCCUUGAGAACAAUGCUAAAGAGUGGCAAAUUGUUCGUGAUAAAGUCUCUGAUUUAAGUAGAAUCAGAAGUGACAGAAAAUAGUGACUUGUUUAAUUUACCACAAUGUGUUAAUUAUGUACAAUAAGUGGUGGGGCAGGGCCCUUGACUUGAGGCUCGUGGGAGCUUCAGACAAAUUACAGAGAAUAAGAUGGGUUCUGAUUCCGACAAUCCAUCUAAUCACCCAGACAUAACCCAUGCUAUCCGUUCCUUCCUCCAUCCCCAUUAUUCUCUAUAUUAUCUCACUCAGAAAUGGUCAAAACCAUUCUCUGAACAAUCUUCCUAAACAUCCAAGUCCCCUGGUCCAGGGUAUUCUUUGGGUGAUCCCCAAUGAGUGCGAUACCCUUACCUCUCACUGACUGUGAGUAGGAAGCAAACAUUUUUGUAACACCAUACUUUUAGGAAACAACCAAAAAGUCCUAGAAACUUUUCUUUCAAAUACCCAUAACCGAUUAUCUUCUAACAAAAAGAACUUCAUAAAGAUAUUUAGAAUUUUAGGCAACUUAGAUAUUUAGAAAACCUAUUCUACUCAAAUGUGUAAAUACUAGAGGGAUAAUUCAGCUGUUUGGGUAUGUUUCCUUGAUAAUAUUAAAAAUGUGGAUUUCUUUUACUUCACUUCUGAAAUACAAACACAUGCCAUAGACAGGAGAACUGUAAAAUCCAGUGCUUAGACCAGCUUUCUGCACUCAGCAAUGAAGGGGAGGUAAAGUAACAUGUUUUCUUCAACCCAUCACAAGGCUCAUAGCUGAGACCCCUGUAAUGAAAAACAGAUUAACAAAAGAAAAACAUAACAAAUUUAUUUAACCAUAGUUCUACAUGACAUAGAAGCUGUCAGAAAUGAAGAGCCAAAAACACAGGGAAACUCUGUAUUUUAUGAAUAGUUGUGCAGAAGAAGUAUGAUUGGAGGACAAAAGUGUAUGAUCUAAUGGUAAUAAACUGGAAGAAACAUAGCAAGGACUGUCUGUCCAGAUUCGUCUUAGCCUCUCUGAGAGGUGUGACACUUCUUCUCUUCACAGUCAGGGCAGAACACCUGUCACAUUAGGGUCUUCAGGGGAGAAGGGAGGGAGGUCAGAGACUCCUGCUUCUGUGAUUUUUUUCAAGUUCCUUCAACUUAAAAUAGUACACUAAGGUGCCAUCUUUUGGGUUAUUAUGUUCUGAGCCCCAACAUUAAGAUUGUGAAAUCUGUGUGCCAUUAUUAUUGUUGUUAAUGGUAUUACUAUUAACAGGUGGAAAACUUAUAUUCUAUAGUUCAGAUUCAACUUAUAUUUAUCAUCUAUGUGUUCCACAUGAUGGGCUUUUUGUUUUCAUUUAAACCACUGUAACUUUGAGUGAGGAAUUUUGUCCCUCUCUGUCCAGAUGAAUAAAUGAAGUUCAAAAGAUUAAGUGUGCUUGGAUCACAAAACUGCCCAGAGGUAGAGUUGGGACGCAAGCUAAGGUUUCCUAAGUCCAAGACUGAGGCAAAUAAUUUACGAAAUGCCUUCACCUGAUUCAUAUAUAAUUAGCCAAACAACCUGUACUGCUUAAUAAUCGUAAUAUGAAAAUGUUCACAUUAACCCAUAAGGUAGAUAGAACAUCAUUAUUCCCUUCCUGAGACAGAUGUGUUAAACUAGUGGCCAGCACCAUUCAAUUGGUACAGGACGUAUGUUGGAUUCAAAGUCAUGUUUCUGCGAAAUUCUUCCUCCUGUUGUGAAGAAAAACGUUGUGAAGUUGAGAAUAAAUAGAUGAAAUUCUAGAUAUUUCUAAAGAGGAUCCAGCUAUUUCAUGGCCACUGAAGUCUUCAGUGAAUAGGUGUGAAUAUUUCAGUGUAGUCCAACCUGAACUGAAAAGCAG